GACGAACGCUGGCGGCGUGCUUAACACAUGCAAGUCGAGCGGUAAGGCCUUUCGGGGUACACGAGCGGCGAACGGGUGAGUAACACGUGGGUGAUCUGCCCUGCACUUCGGGAUAAGCCUGGGAAACUGGGUCUAAUACCGGAUAUGACCUCCUAUCGCAUGGUGGGUGGUGGAAAGAUUUAUCGGUGCAGGAUGGGCCCGCGGCCUAUCAGCUUGUUGGUGGGGUAAUGGCCUACCAAGGCGACGACGGGUAGCCGACCUGAGAGGGUGACCGGCCACACUGGGACUGAGACACGGCCCAGACUCCUACGGGAGGCAGUAGUGGGGAAUAUUGCACAAUGGGCGAAAGCCUGAUGCAGCGACGCCGCGUGAGGGAUGACGGCCUUCGGGUUGUAAACCUCUUUCAGCAGGGACGAAGCGCAAGUGACGGUACCUGCAGAAGAAGCACCGGCUAACUACGUG
rnacentral:rRNA from 1 species